GACGAACGCUGGCGGCGUGCUUAACACAUGCGAGUCGAACGGAAAGGCCCUGCUUGCAGGGUACUCGAGUGGCGAACGGGUGAGUAACACGUGGGUGAUCUGCCCUGCACUUCGGGAUAAGCCUGGGAAACUGGGUCUAAUACCGGAUAGGAGCCAUUUUGAGUGUGAUGGUUGGAAAGUUUUUUCGGUGUGGGAUGAGCUCGCUGCCUAGCAGCUUGUUGGUGGGGUAAUGGCCUACCAAGGCGGCGGCGGGUAGCCGGCCUGAGGGGGUGGACGGCCACCUUGGGACUGAGGUGCGGCCCCGACACCUACGGGAGGCCGCAGUGGGGAAGCUUGACCAAGCGGCGCCAGCCUGAUGCAGCGACGCCGCGUGGGGGAUGACGGCCUUCGGGUUGUAAACUCCUUUCGCUAGGGACGAAGCUUUUUGUGACGGUACCUAGAUAAGAAGCACCGGCUAACUACGUG
rnacentral:rRNA from 1 species